UACAGAGGGGGCUAGCGUUGUUCGGAAUUACUGGGCGUAAAGGGCGCGUAGGUGGCCUGUUAAGUCGAACGUGAAAUCCCCGGGCUCAACCCGGGAACUGCGUCCGAGACUGGCAGGCUUGAAUCCGGGAGAGGGAUGUGGAAUUCCAGGUGUAGCGGUGAAAUGCGUAGAUAUCUGGAGGAACACCGGUGGCGAAGGCGGCAUCCUGGACCGACAUUGACGCUGAGGAGCGAAAGCCAGGGGAGCAAAGCGGG
rnacentral:rRNA from 1 species